GCAAGUCGAACGGCAGCGCGGGGAGCUUGCUCCCUGGCGGCGAGUGGCGGACGGGUGAGUAACGCGUAGGAAUCUGCCUUGUAGUGGGGGACAACCCGGGGAAACUCGGGCUAAUACCGCAUAAUCUCUACGGAGCAAAGUGGGGGAUCUUCGGACCUCACGCUAUAAGAUGAGCCUGCGUUAGAUUAGCUUGUUGGUGGGGUAAAGGCCUACCAAGGCGACGAUCUAUAGCUGGUCUGAGAGGACGAUC
rnacentral:rRNA from 1 species